GUACAAAGAUGUUCAUUUUAGCAUUGUUUGAGCAUUCACUGAAGCAAAACCACCUAAAUUGAAAACCACAUGAAUAUCCAUCAAUGAGUUCAUAGGUAAAUCAAUCCAGAUUGGGAUAUCUGCCUUCAUCCCCUAGUUCAAUCAGUGAAGACUGAUACACCUUCUUAUAUGAGCUGCAUUCCUUCAUCUCAUGACAAAAAUAAACAUGAUUUUAAAAGU